rnacentral:lncRNA from 1 species
AGGAAGAUGAAAUUCAGAUUUCAGUUGAGAAGCAAUGCUGUUUCACCUCCCUGAGAGAAUUGCCUUGUUUGUGAAAUACUACAGAAAAACCUGUAUUUUCUCCAGAAAAUGAAAGGUCUUGGCCUGAGUAAAUCAAGGCAGAAAACUCACCCCCGUGAAAGCUGCAGCUCUGAGAGUGUGUGGGCAGGGCUUCAACAGAAUACCUGUGGCUGCACUUACAAAAGGCAGCCAGAAGGACCCGUCCAUUCUGGAAAGUACCUUUAGUCUGAAAGCAUUUAUUGCAGAAAAAAUAUGAGGCUUGCUGGUAGUAUUCCCAGGUGACAAAUGUGCACCCAACACCCUACAGAAAAGAAGAACCAUAAAAUAAUUAAUUAUUCCAUUGUAACUCCUGCCUGGAAAACAUCUGAAAGAAGUCACUAGAUUCAGCCCACAUUCAAGAUGAGAAAUACCAGAAGGCAGAGAACACUGAGGCUGUUUUAGAGGCUGUCAACCCCAGGGAGACAGACAGCAAAUAAGAUGCUUGGAUGUUUUCACACCACUCUGACACAUGGAUGGAAGGUUAGAAGACAACAAAGGAAUGGGCUGGGAAGGACUCCAAAAGCAGAAUCAGAGAUUAUAUCAUUCCUUGGAAAUGGAGAAAAGGAUCAAAAAAGCUGAAUAAAAGGCAAACAUGGAGGAACAGAGUUUGGAGCAAUACCCUGACUUACAUUCAGUACUGUUAAUGGCUCCAGCAUCUUGAAACAAACCAAUUUUGGAUUUUCAGUGAAAAAGAAAGCCAACCCAGAAAAUCACUUAGGAAGAUCCAGACAACAGAUGGUACGCCAAAAGUGAACAAUGAUCUCAGUAACUGAGGCCUCAGAGACAAGAUGAUCCAUUCCACAGCUGGAUAUUGUAAAACUUGGGUACCAGUGGUGCGCAGAUCUGACCAUUAAAACUAUGUACUUCUUGAGUCACAAACCAGUGUGUGUGACUGGUUAAAACCCAGUCACAACCUGGAAAAAGUUGUGGAAAGCACCUGGGGACUGAGGAGAAGCAAACUUCCUUAGGUUUACACAGUAUGGCUGGCACCUUAAGCAAGUUAAAAUCGGUCUCAAUUCCCUGCAGAAUAAGGGCAACACCAAUUAUGCUACCUACUUCAUGCAAGAACCUAAAAUGAAAAAUAAAAUUGCUUUUAAAAUGU